UAAAACAGAAACGAUAAUGAUAAAUAUAAACAUCAUAAAUACUAAAAUUUAAAAUAUAGCCUGGCAUGAAGGCUUUUUUGGUUUGAACGUGGCGAGUGGCAGGGUUGUGGUAGUUGCGCUUGGGGGUCUUUUGGGGCAUUUCUUUUGGAGGAUUUUUGGGCGGGUAUUUUUGGGCCCGUUCUUUUUUGCCUCCGUUCCGCGCCGGUCCCCGAGUCCGGGCUGUGAGCUCGGGGCAUUCUGCGGUUGGUCGUUUUCCCGUUUCCCCAUUGGUCCGUUUUGGAUCCUUGCUCCGAUUGGUCGUUUUGAAAUUCAUUCACCCCAUUGGUCCGAGAGUCAAAGCCCGCCACCUCGUUCGCUGUGAAAAGGGAGUGUGGGAGGUCAGUCGGGUGUGGGUUCCGGAGCGCGCAGCGGUGUGCGCCGCCUGAAGAGACCUCGCCGCGGAGAAGCAGCAGCGCCCAGCCGAUGGAGCGCCCGUGCCUGCAGGCGCACGGAGAGCCUCGUGGCUGAGUUGCCCCUGCAACUCUCUUAAAAGAGCGAUCACUGAGGGUGUUGUUGAGCCUUCGGAGCAUAGGGCGCCUUUUUCAAGGCGCCCGGCUCCCGGAUGGUCUCAGCACCCGAAGAGGCUCCGCGGCCGGGCUGGAGCAGGCAGCGGGCCCGGGCCGAAGGUCCAGAGCUUUGUGUGAGGCAGCAGCAGCAUCGCGGGAGGUGAAGCUGGAUGUCGGCGUUGGAGGUGACGUGUGCCCGGUGAGCCGUGAGUGCUAGCCAGAAGCCGUUGCUGUCGCUGAAGUCUGACUCGGUGGUGCCAGUCUAAGCCUCCAGGACGUUGUUGCCGUGCAAGAGAGAGUUUGUCUGCCUGUGAUACCAUUCCUUGAAGGAAGGGGAGAAUGUUAGAGCUUCUGGGCCACCUACAUCUUUUGGAUCUUGUCAGCCCGUCGGUUUCCUACAGUUUUCUCCUCUGAGUCUCCUGAUGGGUAUGUG